CUUCCCCGCCGCCGCCCGGCCUCCUCCCAACCCGGGCCUCCCUCUCCUCCUUCCCCGUCGCCGCCCGGCCUCCUCCCCACCCGCGCCUCCCUCUCUCUCCUUCCAAACCCUAGACCACCUCCCUGCCCCGUCCCCGUCGCCGAGGAGGAGCUCGCGCUCGGGGAGGACGAGGAGACGGCCGCCUUCGUGGAGCAGCAGAAGGAGGAGGGGCACGCGGUGGCGGCGACCAAGAGGCGCAUGGCGCAGCCGACCAAGAAGGCCAGGAACAUGGCCACCAGCGACAAGGAGCCCGAGUUCCUUGACGAGCCGUCCUCACCGACGAGGCCCGCUACAGGGAUGGAUGAGAGGAUGUGAGGUGGAUAUUCAGGUCAGGAAGCUCUACUGCAUCAACAGGGCUGGCCCGAAGCUACCAAUCAGCAUGGAGGAUGCCAGACGGAGUGCUGAGGAGUUUGCAAUAGCUGAAUCAAAGGGAGUGCCACUUGUCCAUGUUGGUCAGGACACACGCUUGGACUAUCGAGUUAUUGAUGUCCGAACACUGGCAAAUCAAGCCAUUUUCCAUAUACAGCAUCAAGUUGAAAACAUUGGUAUUUGUUCUUGCCUUUAGGACUGCUGCUAUCAGUGAUGUGUUGAUGAACUGAGUUUGCAGAACUAAACAUAUCAUGUUAUGUAAUUUUCUGUGUCGCUUAGCUAAGAUAUUCUACUUCGACACUGAAUUAAACAUAUCUAAUCUGGUGAACCCUUUGACUAGUUGUGCCAAAGCAUGCCAUUGGCUGGCCUGCUGAAUUGGGAUUUCAGUGGUCAUUUUGGGUGGUUGUUUAGGUGGAGUGUGCCUGAGCAGCCACCGUAGCGGCACUUAGUGGUGGACUGUCGCUGCUUGUUGUAUCGUAAUGACGUGGAUGGGCGCUUCUAUAAUGAUAUACAUGCUUGUGUGUAUUAUAGAAAAAUAAAAUCUUUCAGUCUCAACCUAUAAUCAUUUUGUACAAAAAAAGCAUGCACUGUGCUGGACUUUUAAGUUGCUUCCGGAUACAAAUUGAUUAAGUGAUCUUAAUGUGAUGCCUGCAGUGCAUGCCAUACAAUUCUGGAUUACACUAAUGAUCAAAUUGAGUUUAACAUUCUGCAUCCAAUAUUGGAUUUAUCAAGCCAAUGCAUAUGCUUUUACAAAAGCUGCUUUGUGAAGGCUUCAGACAUUAUUUUCUAUGCAUUUCUGGAGCAUGUGAUGUUUUUUUCAUGCUUUGAGUCUAAAUAUUUACCAUUGUUCAUGCUUUGAGUCUAAAUAUACACCAUCGGCAUUCGUCGCCUUCAUCCCGGACCUCCCCAUGUUGUCUUUGUACUGCCCAACAGUACAUCAUAUGCUUCUCCUCCAUGGUCGAUUGUUCACUAGGCUGGCCCAUGGAAGCACCACCGCUCAGGUCAACGGUUUCACAGACGCUUAUGUUUGUUCAUUUAGCGUGUGGUUAGUAAAUCGACAUUUUCUUUGGCAAUUAGGGUAGGAUGAUUUACUUCUAUAUCGUCUGGAUCAUGUUUAGUAUUUUUCUUCUAAGAUACUUUAUUAUUCUUUACGUUUGUAAUUGCAACAAAGUGAGUUUUGUAGGUUCAGAGAGAAAUCUUCUAGAUUUUUGGACCACACCUUUAUUUUCUUAACAACUCAUGACAUACCACAUAGUAAUUUUGAUUUUUCAUCUGGAUGUUAUACUUCACAAGAUCUACAAUCUGCACACAACUCGUGUUUGCUGUUUAGUCUUGAUAAUUCUUGAAACAUUUCCAUGUUUUUUUCUGUUACAGAGCUUCUGAUGUCGUAUCUAUACUCAUGCUUAAAAGAUGCUCCCUCCGUAACCAAAUAUAAAACGUCUUUGUAGUUAAGUUUGAACAGCAAAAACAUAUUGUAUUUAGUUACAAAGGUAGUACUUGUCUUGGUUGAUUGCUUUACGAAGAAAUUUGACCUUUUUAGACUGAAGAUAUGGAUUUAUGAUAGUUUCGAGAUGAGAGGAGAAAAUGAUAAGUUUGGAAAAUGAUGAAACUUCCAAAAUUAUGACAGUUUGCUUCAGCAUGUGAUUAGGUUACACUCCUAGGAGAUAAAUGUUCUUCUGUAAUUUUAGUUUCAAGUACUUUUGAUUAAUAAUAAGAAGGAUAUGUAUUUAGGUAAUGUUUUCUAAUACUAUUAUUUAGGUGAUACAAAUCAAUAUCUUGCUAUCUUUAUUGUGCAGUGGCCUUAGCGCUGGACCAUGAGGUUGGAUAGGGAAAGCAUGUGUAUUCUUUAAUUAUUGGAGGCUUUCAUAUUCAUAUAUCAAUACAAGGCGGGAUAUGAUGCAGCAAUUGGGAAGGAUCGUCCUGUAUUAUCUAUCAUGGUUAUUAGCUAGCAAGAGUGAUGCCACAAGUGGAUCUUCCCAGUAAAUUUGUUAAUUACUUCCUUGCAAGAAUGACAGAGUUUUAAAAUCAGAAUGGGGCAAUAAAUGUGUCUACUAUGACAAAGUGAAGACAAAACGAAUGCAUCGAGUUACUAAUGCAGUGGUUUUCAAGGUUGGACAUUGAUAUCAACUAUGAUUAUUUAAUAGAGAAAUUCUGUUCAUAUGAAGCGAAAGAAAAGCAUGCAGUACCUUACAUUGACAGUGCUUAUUAGGCCAUUGUGGUACUUCAAAUUCUGAUAAAGAAUAUAUUUCAUGACCGAGAUUUGGGAUUUGGAGAAUCUCAAUUCUGAUAUGUACAUGCAUCUCCUUUUAUUUUGUCACGCUACUGAAUGUUCUGAUAUGGGACUACUUACUCUGUGUAUCUCUUAUAUAUAAUAAAAUUGUCUAUAUGUAAACUUUUCCUAUUUUAAUUCUAUUAUGUUGUUGAUGACGAAUGG